AGAGUUUGAUCAUGGCUCAGAUUGAACGCUGGCGGCAGGCCUAACACAUGCAAGUCGAACGGUAACAGGAAGCAGCUUGCUGCUUUGCUGACGAGUGGCGGACGGGUGAGUAAUGUCUGGGAAACUGCCUGAUGGAGGGGGAUAACUACUGGAAACGGUAGCUAAUACCGCAUAACGUCGCAAGACCAAAGAGGGGGACCUUCGGGCCUCUUGCCAUCGGAUGUGCCCAGAUGGGAUUAGCUAGUAGGUGGGGUAACGGCUCACCUAGGCGACGAUCCCUAGCUGGUCUGAGAGGAUGACCAGCCACACUGGAACUGAGACACGGUCCAGACUCCUACGGGAGGCAGCAGUGGGGAAUAUUGCACAAUGGGCGCAAGCCUGAUGCAGCCAUGCCGCGUGUAUGAAGAAGGCCUUCGGGUUGUAAAGUACUUUCAGCGGGGAGGAAGGGAGUAAAGUUAAUACCUUUGCUCAUUGACGUUACCCGCAGAAGAAGCACCGGCUAACUCCGUGCCAGCAGCCGCGGUAAUACGGAGGGUGCAAGCGUUAAUCGGAAUUACUGGGCGUAAAGCGCACGCAGGCGGUUUGUUAAGUCAGAUGUGAAAUCCCCGGGCUCAACCUGGGAACUGCAUCUGAUACUGGCAAGCUUGAGUCUCGUAGAGGGGGGUAGAAUUCCAGGUGUAGCGGUGAAAUGCGUAGAGAUCUGGAGGAAUACCGGUGGCGAAGGCGGCCCCCUGGACGAAGACUGACGCUCAGGUGCGAAAGCGUGGGGAGCAAACAGGAUUAGAUACCCUGGUAGUCCACGCCGUAAACGAUGUCGACUUGGAGGUUGUGCCCUUGAGGCGUGGCUUCCGGAGCUAACGCGUUAAGUCGACCGCCUGGGGAGUACGGCCGCAAGGUUAAAACUCAAAUGAAUUGACGGGGGCCCGCACAAGCGGUGGAGCAUGUGGUUUAAUUCGAUGCAACGCGAAGAACCUUACCUGGUCUUGACAUCCACGGAAGUUUUCAGAGAUGAGAAUGUGCCUUCGGGAACCGUGAGACAGGUGCUGCAUGGCUGUCGUCAGCUCGUGUUGUGAAAUGUUGGGUUAAGUCCCGCAACGAGCGCAACCCUUAUCCUUUGUUGCCAGCGGUCCGGCCGGGAACUCAAAGGAGACUGCCAGUGAUAAACUGGAGGAAGGUGGGGAUGACGU
rnacentral:rRNA from 1 species